rnacentral:rRNA from 1 species
UACGAAGGGAGCUAGCGUUGUUCGGAAUUACUGGGCGUAAAGCGCACGUAGGCGGGCUCUUAAGUCAGGGGUGAAAUCCCGAGGCUCAACCUCUGAACUGCCUUCAAUACUGAGAGCAUCGAGGUCGGGAGAGGUGAGUGGAAUUCCAAGAGUAGAGGUAAAAUUCGUAGAUAUUAGGAAGAACACCAGUGGCGAAGGCGGCUCACUGGCACGAAUCUGACGCUGAGGUGCGAAAGCGUGGGGAGCAAACAGG